rnacentral:lncRNA from 1 species
GGAGUCUUUGGAUCUCUUGAUGUUAGGCAGAUCAACGAUCAUAAUUGCUCGGGGGCUUUCUUUAAUAGAAAAUGCUGAUUUUAUUGUUGCGAUGGAAGAUGGUCAGUUAAUGAAGAUUGAAACACACGAAGAAUUAUACAUUUCCAGUAUUUUAAAAGGAUUUUUACAUGCUUCUUCCAAAUCACAUAUUUUCACGAUUCCCUUUUCCAGUAUGCUUCUUCCCUGAUUUUAGGGUUUUCAGGAUCUAGCACUUGAUGCAACAACUACAGUUGGUGUGUGUGUGUGUGUGUAUCUAAGAGAAGUGGAUAUUAAAAAAUAUAUCAAGGUCCCGGGUGGCUGGCUAAUUAGAAGAUUCCAAAGUCCUCAAAGGUAUUUGGGAUGCUUAUAACGUGAAGGCACAGACCGACCUUUAAGACAGCCAUUGAGGCUGCUUGUAUGCUUCAAGAAUUGAUGAUAUCGUGAGUGGAAUCAAAAGAGGCAAGCUCCUGGAUCUAACCAACCAUCAAAACCUACUGUUGAGACCGAAGGGGAUGCUGACGAGCAGAUGAUUCCCGAGUGAUGAACAUGUUUUUUUAAUGUGGUUUUAUCAAACAUGUUUUCUCUCGAUUCAUUCUUAAUUUCUUAUGAGUUCUAUUUUGGCUGCCCCAAAUUUUGGUCUGUUUUCUGUUUCUUUUUCCUUUUGACCAUUUUUGAUUCCUCGUAUUU